GUGUCCUCAGAUAAAGUGGGCUCUGCCCAGGUGGGGUUGAAGCAUGAACCACUAGAUGAAGCUUGUGGUGGUCCUUCAAAACCAGUCAGUAUGGAUACGAGCAGGGUUCUAUCCCAUCAAACAGCUGUGAAUGUUACAGGCAAGACAACAAGGUCCGCUUCAGAUCCAGUAACCUGCAAGCCUAAGGAAGAGAGACCCCUCUCAGCUCCAAGUAUUUCAAACCUACGGGAAUAUGAAAAGUAUGAAGAUUUUGCAAAUGCAAUGCCAGCCAAAAGCUUCAGCAAAGCUGCUAAGAUUUUGGGACAGGAGUAUUCAGGCAUGAGCAUCGGAAAUGUGGAACACGACAACUCGCUCACCAAAACGCAAAAGAAAGGUGUGAAAAACAAAAUGAAGAAUCUUACUCAAAAACUGAUGGAAAAGCUUAAAGAUAAACAUGAUUGUGUGAACACUGGCAGCAAGAGCACACAAGACAGCCUGGAAGAAGAAGCACAAAACCUGAAUUCCAUGGAGGUGGAAGCCGAGGCUCAAGAGAUUCCACCACCACUUCCACCAAAAAUGGGGAAAUAUGUUUUCUUAGACAGAAGAUUUACCCUAAAAGACUUCAAACUCAAUCUUGAACCGAUCAACUUAAUGGAAGAAAUAUUCACAGGCAGCGAAUGGCUCAGUUACUUGCCCAUCAAAGAAAGUCCAGCUGAGAAAGACACUAGUGAUCAGUCAAUGACAAAUGAUGUUCUCCAACCAGAAAAGGACAUUCAGCUUGAAGUUCCUCUUCCAACAUCAGAACAGAACCAGUCUGAGGACAUAAAGAAACCAGAGGAGGACCAGUCUGAGGACAUAAAGACACCAGAGGAGGACCAGUCUGAGGACAUAAAGACACCAGAGGAGGACCAGUCAGAGGACAUAAAGGACAAUCAAGACAGUGCUAGUAGACCUCAAGAGGACAAUGUAGCAAAAGUGAACAGUGGCUUGGAUGUAAAACAAGUGGAAUGGGA
rnacentral:lncRNA from 1 species